rnacentral:lncRNA from 10 species
GGGCCGGGUAAGGUCCAGCCGUAUCCGCCUCCUUCAUGUCCCGCUGUGGGAGGGGCUCUGGAGCGCCGGGACUGUGAGAUGGCCAAUGACGGUCUGACCCGUUGGGCCGGGCCAGGUCGCGGACAACGUCGACCGUUUGUUUAAGAAGCGUGGACUCUUGUCCUGAGUGCACCGAGGCUUUCAGCCUGCGGGACAGUGGUGCGAUUUGCAUUAGAGAAAGGGAGAUGCCAUGUGCUGGCCCAGCACUCCAACAGGGGCCUGACCUCUAGGAACGGGACACUGGAGGAAGCCUAGACAUCUGAACAAAUCAAGUCAUCCAGAUCCACGGUCAGCUCCUGCCCCGACUUGGCCUUCCUCCUGCUGGGCUGGCCCACGGACCUCGGGAACCUGCCCUGGCUGUGGGUGACCUGCAGCCUAUCUCCCAGGACUAUGGAAGCCCCAUGCAGGAACAUGGUUCUGACACUUUGGGGAUUAUACCCUAAGCUUAAAGGACUGGAAAAGCCCCUGAAGUCCCGAGACCACAACCCUCCACCUUCUAAAGAUAAGACAAGUCACUGAAGGUCUCAGAACUGUGGCCCAUUCACCCCUUCCCUCAAGACAAGAGUGUGGCCAAGCAUCAAUCUCACCCCCAGAGACCAGACGGUGUCCAGGUCUUGGGCAGACGAAACCUGCUCCUUGGGGAUGGUCUUCCUGGCUGUGCUUCCAAAGGGCUGGCCUGCAAUCAGCUGGUUUUCACUUGAUCCUUUCGGGGUUUGCAUUAUAUCUGACUGAAGGAAUGAACUGGGAGAGAACAGCAGAGCCGCAGCGGAAUGUGGAAAGGCCCACGUCCAGACUGUUCCCAUUCUGAUUUAAAAGCCUGAUGAAGGAACAGCUGAACUCAGAGAAACAGCAGGUGAAAGUAAAUUUUUUAUUUAUUUUUUCUUCCUUUUGCCAACAUUCUGCAUCACCUCUUGUUUCUAGCCUCACUUUCAUUCCAGCAGCUUCUCGGGUGUGGCUGUGGCUGUGGCUGUCUGGCUUCCCUUCUAUUGAUACCUCUGGCAGCCUUUGAGGGAUGAGAGGGCGUGGGGGUUUCCACUGCAAACAUGAGGGAGUAGGUUGAGUGCUUCGUUGUUGAGGUGAGCUUCCCUGAUGGGGUUGAACCCUGUAUAUCAGAAAGAAGCCCAACCACCCUUUUGCUAUUUCAUAGUGAAGCAUUGCAUUGAAUCUCCUGGAGCAGACAUAAAUGAAUGUUGUGGCUCUGGAGUGGUAAAAGAGAUUGCAAACAAACAGUCUUCAUAUCUCCUGGGGGUGCUUUUUACUGAGCUAACAUAGCUAAGCUGGAAAUGUGUUUUCUAGUAUUCCAUUCUCUGUGUGUUGCUGGCCACAAAGAGACUUGUGUGUCUAAGUCUUGGAAGAUGUAAGAGAAGGAGCUGCCAUUUUGUGUGCUCUGAGGUGGGUAAAGGGCACCAGAUGCUGUGGCAGCUCACACAGGUCUGUCAUCUGCUAGCCUUGCCUUGCGGGUGGGGCCAUAUCCUGAGCCUCGCACAACCUCAGCUCCCACUGGAUCUCUUCCUUCAGCUCCUCUGAGCCCUGGGCCAGAUGUGUGUACAGCUCCAUGGUGAAAGCCACCAACUUUUCCAGUAGGUCUUCUGCAUCUUUUGGGUGGGAGGUGGUGAGAAAGAGAGGUGGGCUCUAUUUCAUCCUUUUGAGGGGAAAUGGGAAAAUACCUCUUGUCCUCUACUUCCUCAAUUUCACACCCAACUCUCCUUCCUAACUCCCAGUCCAGGCGAUAUAGAACAAAUUCAGCCCAGUAUCAGAUACUACCUUUACAGAGAUUUCACAACCAGUCUCACCAUUGUGCAGAUCCUAAUCCCUGUUAUAAAUUCUAUAUAUUGGUUCUGUUUCUCCAAUUGAACCCUGACUGAAAAAGCUCUUCAUGGCUACUGUUGCCUGCGAAUUUUAUCUCUUGAAUUAGUAGAUGGUUAUACUGCUCUGCCAGGACUGUUUGACUUCCUGAACAGAAAGCGUAAAUGGUAAAGUGUGGAUUGUGAUUAAAUCAUUGAUGACCUACUACAGGUUGGUAGUUUGUUCUGUCUGAAUUGCAUCUUAAAGAAGCUCAUUGAAAUGUCUUAUAUGGUGACAUACUUCCUUUUCUCCAGUGUUAUUUAAUGUUCUCUUAUUUUUAUAGCCCUUGACCUUAGCCUUUUAUUUAAAGCUACUGAGGGGCUUAGAUUACUGUUGCCAUUUUUCUUGGGAUUAUGCUAAUCCAGGUUUUCAUUUUACUAUGUCAAUCUCCACUUACAUUUUUUUUAACUCUGCUGGUUUCCUUUAUAAAGUCACUAUCUCUUCUUCUUCUCUUAAUUUGCGUCCCUUAUUUCAGAGACAAUGAUUUCAUUUUAUUUCACUGAGUGAGAGAAGCAAAUGUCUAAAAUUUACAUUUUGCUUUCUGUAGAAAGCUCCUUUCUAAAAUCUGCGUUUUUCUUUACCUCUGGCAUGCUGCAUUCAUUUCCUUUUUUAUGCUGCAGAAUUUCUGUGUUUGCGCCCCCAUCCUGUGAGUGAGUGUUCUCUGGCUUCCCUCCCUGUUCCCAGGAAUGCUAUGGGACUUCAUCUUUCAUAUGCUUACUGGUGAAGGCUGCUGCAUGAUGACUUUGUAGGCUGAGGGAGUGGAGAAAAAGGUGAGGCUGGGAGCACUCUAAAAAGAAGAAUUUGGUGUUUGUUCUGUUGACUCCUUCUUUCUUAUACAGGAGGGCAGUUCUCUUCUUGUAUUCCUUUGUUUUUGGUGUGUUGUUUGUGUGUUUGUUUUUUGUUUAUUUUGACACAAAGUCUUGCUCUGUCGCCCAGGCUGGAGUGCAGUGGUGCGAUCUUGGCUCACUGCAACCGCCUCCUCCCGGGUUGAAGCGAUUCUCCCACCUCAGCCUCCAGAGUAGCUGGGAUUACAGGUGUGCACCAUAACACCCGGCUAAUUUUGUAUUUUUAGUAGAGCCGGAUUUUCACCAUGUUGGCCAGACUGGUCUCAAACUCCUGGCCUUAAGUGAUCUGCCCAUCUCGGCCUCCCAAAGUGCUGGGAUUACAGGCGUGAGCGACCGUGCCCGGCCACUUCUUGUAUUCCUUUGUUCAGCAUGGCCUCUUCCUCAGGUCUUCGAUGUGGCUUAGUGUCCCUCUCAAGAACUUUUCCACAACAGGGACAGGAUCUCACCACAGCAGAGAGAAUCAGAAUCAGUGAAAAACACCCAUGCCUGGAGACUUCUUGUUUAGAACGGCCACUCUUGUUUUGAUCCUUCACAUCCCCUCCAAUCUAAUUCUGAAUUUUUUUUCUUUACUGUGGCAAAAUACACAUAACAUAAACUUACAUGUUACCGUUUUUAAGUGUCCAGUUCAGUGGCAUUAAGAACAUGCACAUUGUUUGGCAAUCAUCACGAGUAUUCAUAUUCAGGACUUUAUUCAUCUUCCUCAACAGAAACCCCCCAUACCCACUAAACAACAAGCCCUCAUUUUCCCCUGCCCCACCAGCCCCUGACAACCGCCAUUCUUCUUUCUGUCUCUAGGAAGCUGAUUACUCUAGGUACCUAUGAGGGUGGAGUCAUACAGUAUUUGUUUUUGUGACUGGCUGAUUUCACUCAGCGUAAUGUCUUCGAGGUCCAUUCAUGUUGUGAGGGAUGAAGGAGGAGAUUUUACUGCAUACAGAGGAGAAGGUGAUGUGAAGAUGGAGCAGAGAGAGACCUGAAGAUGCUGGCGUUGAAGGCUGCAGGGAUGCAGCCACAAGCCAAGGAGUGCCUGCUCUCACCAGAAGCUGAAAGAGGCAAGGAAUGUCUUCUUCUAUAGAACCUACAGAGGGAGUACCCUGCCAACACCUUUAUUUGGGCCCAGUGAUACUAUCAGACUUCAGACUUCUGGCCUUCAAAACUGCCAGAAAAUACAUUUCUGUCAUUUUAAACUACUACGUUUAUGGUGAUUUGUUACAGCAGCCACAGGAAAUUAAUCCAGCCACUUUAUGUCCAAAAUGAGGUUAAUAAUAGGGAACCUGUAAGUGCAUGCCUUGUUUCAAGUUUACCAGAGAUGCCACAUCCUUCCUGGUGUCUCUGUGGGUUUGCUUCCUAAGAUUCCAAUCAACCCUUGCACCCGGUGAUCAACUUUCCAACUGUCUUUCAGAAAAUGAUUAACUUCUGUUUUUUAACUAAGUCGUCCCCAGCAAACCAUAUUUUUGUGAAAGCUUACUGUUCAUUUCUGCAGGCCUGAAGGGAGGUGGGGCUAGUAAGUCUCAGCCCCUUCUCUGCAAGCCUGCUCUAAACAGCAGUGACAGACAUGGCAUGGUCCACCUUCUAGUCAUUAGAUAUAAUGCCAAGAUAAACAAGUUUGAUUGAUACCCUGGGGUGAAAUUCCUUUUUGCACUCCAGGUACUGAGGAGAAGGCAUUGUGUAUGGGACACUGGAAGAGGUAUGGGACUGUGUGAAGCCGGCUGUUGGGCAUGGUCCACCUUCUAGUCCUUAGAUAUAAUUCCUUUUUGGGCUCCAAGUACUGAGGAGAAGGCAUUGUAUAUGGGACACUGGAAGAGGUGUGGGACUGUGUGAAGCCGGCUGUUGGGCAUGGUCCACCUUCUAGUCCUUAGAUAUAAUGCCAAGAUAAACAAGUUUGAGUGAUACCCUGGGGUCAAAUUCCCUUUUGUGCUCCAGGUACUGAGGAGAAGGCAUUGUAUAUGGGACACCAGAAGAGGUGUGGGACUGUGUGAACCCGGCUGUCGGGGGCCUGUGAGAGAAGGGGGAUGAGAAUGUGAUUGGUUUUGAAAUGAUCUAAAAUAGAAACUCCACAGAUGGCCUCUGAGAAAUUGAGACUCCAUUCUGUAAAAAGGCACAGAGUCAUAGAACUGUAGCGCUAGAAAGACUCUGGUCACCUGGCUCAAUCCCCUGUUCUACAAAAGACGGGUCAGAGGCCUCAAGAGAUACGACUCUCCAAGGCUGUCCAACCCAUAGGUAGGAAAACUGGGACUUUUUGAAGUGUUUCUGUGAGAAUGAAAAUAAAUAGCUGUAAAAGGCUCAGAAUAGUGUUUGAUGUAGUAAGUGUUCAAAAUGUUUGAUUGUGAUAGGUUUAUUUAAAACAUUGGGCCACCUAAAUUUCCAACAUCAAAAGUGAAGUAACAAGAAUGCUAAUGAAAUACAACGUUUUAUCUAAAAUAAUGCAAUCAUCAGAGCCUUUCUGUUCCAUCUGCCUCUGUGACUACUGCCCAGUCCAAGCCGCCAUUGCCUAGAUUGUCGUAGCAGCCUCCUCAUCGUUGUCCUGUUUCUUUUGACGACUUCCAAAGACUAUUUCCCGCCCAGCUACAUCCCAUUCUCCUCACAGCAGCCAGAGAAUUUUUUUUUGUAAAAAAUGUAAGUCAAAUCAGGUGCCUUCUCUUCUAGAAACCUCCAGUGGCUCCUUUUCUCAGUCAGAGUAAAAUCCACAUCCUUACCCAGAGCUACAUAGCCCAACAAGAGGGACCCUGUGCUGCACCCUGGAGCUCUUCUCCUGUAAUUUGAGUGUCUUGCCUACCCUGCUCUGGCCACACUGGCCUCCUUGCUGUGCCCAAAUACUCCAGGCCUGUGGCCUUGGGGUCUUUACGUGUGUCUUUUGCCUUGGUUGGAAUGCUUUUUCCCUGCAUGCUCAGUUACCUGCUCCCUUUCCUCCUUCAAGUCUCUUCUCAAAUGUUGCCCUAUCAGAGGGUAUUUUUGGCCACCCUACAUACCAGAGCAAACCACCAGCCCUCAUUGGCUGCCUAUCACGCUUUAUUUUUCUUUAUAGCAUUUAUCCCCACCAGAUAUUAAAUAUAUACAUAUUUACACCUUGCUAGUCUAUCUGUUCAGUACUAUACUUUUACAUGAAAGUAAAAAACAAACAAGAGACAGUUUACAUAUUAUAUCUUUCUUUUAAAAAAACAUAACUUACUCUAUUUGGGUGAAUAAAUGACAAUUGAGCCUAUGAUUUGUUCUGUGUCUACUAAGAAUCUAAUUUGUCAACCAAAAUAAUCUUCCUGGGGAGAUGCAGUGAACACUAUGCUGCACACAUAAACACAUUGCAUCACUCCAUGUAGAUUAUUUUGGUUGAUAAAUUAGAUUCUUAAGAGGCUUGGGGGUCAAAUACUCCAGGCAUUAAAUGUCAGUUCUACUGCUUGCUAGCUAGAGUACUUCCACAGUGAAAGCUAGGGAGCUUUUACUGACUGUCCCUGAGUCAUUAUUUCCUUAUUUACAAAACAGAAAUAACUUUGCAACGUUGUAAAGAUUAGCAAAAUUGUAUAGGAAAGGCCUACCACAGUGCAUAGGGCGUAGUAGGAAACUAAAAACUGAGAAGGAUGUUUAUUCUUGUGUCUAUAAUAGUAGUGUCAUUUAAACCCCACCAUGAAAGCAUGGCCAGAAUGGUUUAAGUAAUUUCUUAUGAAAUAUGUGAUAGCCAUUAUUAUCAUCAUUCUUGACAUUAUUUUAAAAUCAGCAUUAAAGUUUGGUAAGAAUGCUUUGAGAUGAAUUAUUUUUUGCAAACUGAACUGAUUCAUGUAGAGAACUGCAAACAAAAUAUUUUGCCAAUAUACUGAUUAACGACAUAACAUACACACUAUGUGUGCUCUUUAAUCCAGCUCCAAAUGCAAAUAAAACUUUAAAAAUGCCCUCUCCUGUCUAAGAAACAAGCCCAAACAGUAGCCAAGUACAUAUAUAGAAUUUAACUCGGGGUGUCUGAAUUUACUGUAGUUGCCCAUGGAUGGGAGAAGCAGCCUGCCAAGGCCCAGAGAUGCAGGGUUUAAUUCCCAGAGCUCACGGGAAGCCGGCUGAUUGGUGAACGCGCCCGCACUGUGUAAUUGAACAUGUGCUCCCAGCCCAACUGCAGGAAGGAUGAAAUUUGUUAAGUGGUAUCUUUCAUGAGAUUAAAAAAGGAAGAUAAACUGUCACUGGUUAUGAUAGGGUCUUAUUAAAUUUCUGCCCUACUAAUUUGGAAACUGUGAUAAUCCAGACUUGGCAUAUAUGAUACAGAACAAAAAAGUGGAAUUAAAUGCUGACACUUGGAAAUUUUACAUUAUGGUGCACCCCUAGAUUCUAGGGCUCGUUGUUGACUUAAGUCUAUUUUGUUUCAAUUCUGUGUAUCUAUUUUUAACCCUUAGGUGCCAUCUGCUUGAGCGUUGUCCUGGUUCACUUCCAGUAUAAAGCUCAGAGUGCAGGAAUAAUAUCCAAGUGCCAGCAAAACCACUUGGGUGGUCGCAAAAUGGAGUGAGGAGGAUCAUGAGGGCUGUGUUUCUGAAGAACCCACAGGGGGAGGCAGCAGGGAUGAACUGCAAAAAAGUGGCAGUCUAUGCUGCACACAUCAGCCCCACAAAAGAAUAACAAAAUCCAGGAGCAGAGAGCUGAGCUACCGUAACUGAGAAUGGCUCCGCAGUGGGGAUGGUUUGAGAACCGUGACCUGGGUCUAGAUGGCCCCUCUUGGAGCUCACUGGGACCCUGCAUACAUUCCCUGCCUAUUGACCUCACACAGCAGUGGCUUAGCUCGGCUGAGAGGAGAACUGUCUGUUCCUCUUUGUUGGUUUAACCAUAUGAUACACAAUCCUGUAAACAAAUUAAUUUCCUCUGGGACUUCUGAAAGCAUGCUAACUGCAUUAUCAUUUUUUUCUGCACAAAGGAAGCUUAGCAAGAAAACAAUUAUGGGAUGGACUUCAAAUGAUCUCCAAAUGGCCAUAAAAUAGAGAUGUAGUCAACAGAGAGGCAGGAGAAAAAAAAAUUAACAAGGUUUUGUUUGCUAAAAUCUAGGAUUCAUUUGAUUUUAAAGCUGUGUGACCCACUUCCAUUCUUUCUCCCUUCCAUCAGCUUUCUGCACAAACCUUUUGCCACCCUCAUUUUUAACAUUUGUAUUCCUCCUCUACUGCCCAGAGCCUUUCUACUCUGUGUUCUCCAAUUCAUCCUAAAAUCAAGACCAAGGUAGAAUUCUCGAACUUGGCCUAUUCUGAAAAAAAUGGACAUGGCUGGGACAGAGAGCUUGUGUGAAUAUUCCCAAUUGGUAAGGAAUGAGUUUGCACACUCAUUUAUUCUGCCAUCAAGCAUUUACUGGCUGUCUGGUUUGUGCCUGACCCUAUGCACUUCCUUAGGGAAUGGAAUAAAAAAAAAUACAUGAUCUUCUCCUUAAAGCAACUUGAUGCUUGAUAGAAUGACAGACAAAGCAAGAAUUGAAACAGAGUGAGGUGACUGCUGUGAUGGGUGAAUGCUUAGAGCUAGGGAGGGGUAGAAGAGGAGAGAGAAGGAGUAUUGCUUAGUUUGGGUCUUGAAAGAUAAGUUACUGUUCUUAAACUACAGUAGUAUACUGUUGAGGGGCACAGAUGGACCAUUCAAGACAGAAAGCUGCAAUGGCCUGUGGGGACAGGCGGAAACUGCCACCCUCCUCCAGUCACUCAGGCCCUAAACCAUAGCUGUGACAGUCUAUCAACUUACAUUCCAACCUCACCUGCAGGACACAAGGGAGAGAGUUGCCAAAGAGGUGGCUGUAGGUAAUGGGGUAUAUACAUUUGGAUACUGGACACAGAGAAGACACAGAUCCAAAGUCUCAUUGGGAUAAGGAAGUUAGGAGAGCUUGAGUUUCCUUGUUCUUAUUAAAAUAUAUGAACACUCCUUCAUUGAUUAUCAAUACCAUCCUGUCUGAAUGCAGACAUCUGGUAGUGGUCUCAUGUCUUCAGCAGGAACUCCCUUCUUUUCUAUCCUAGCCUCCUGUCCACAUCCCAAUAGGCUUAGUGAGUCUUUUGGGUAGAAAAAAAUCUUAGAGCCUUUUAUUCCAAAUCCCUCCUGAUAAGUGAAAGAAGCCAGUCUUAAACAGCUACAUACUGAGCCAGGCAUGGUGGCUCAUGCCUGUAAUUGCAGCACUUUGGGAGGCUGAGGCGGGUGGAUCACUUGAGGUCAGGAGUUCCAGACCAGCCUGGCCAACAUGGCGAAACCCCAUCUCUACCAAAAAUACAAAAAUUAGCUGGGUGUGGUGGCGGG